rnacentral:ncRNA from 2 species
CCUAAUACAAUCACCCGAGUCUACCCGCCUGUGGCUACUUGGUACAUUAUCCUUGGUAUUAAGGGCUAUGGCGGUUGACCGACAGGGUAUACCUUGAAAAGGGUAUGCCUCCCAGUGCGGAAAGGGUUUAGUGCUUUAAAUGG